CCGGGGAGGAGGGACGGCCGCCGGGGGCCGCCCGGGGCUGCUCGGCAUUGGUGCGGAAACCCGAGCCGGGAGUCGCUCCUUGCGCUGUCUCCUCCUUCUCCUCUGCGGGGGAAACCGCUGCACCCAAACCGAGAGCAGCUGCGAGCAGGGGGCAGGGCGCGGGCUGAAAGGCGAGCCAAGGGUUCAAACCUCGGCGGCGCCAGGGGGGUGAGAGCAGGACAGCCCCCAGGUCCCGCGAAGGCGCGGCCGCCCAUCUGUCCAGCCCGGGACCCCACACCUCUUUCCUGGUCCGAGGAAACGUGAACCAAAGAUGGUUCGGCUAAACAGACCACCUCCAGCCGGGUUCGAGGCGUCUAUCUCAUGGAGGGCCCACAAGACAGCGAGGUUUUUUCUCAAAGGAAAGUUAAACCAUGCUUUUUCUCAGUGCAGGGAAAUCGUUGCGCCCCUUCCUCCAAAUCUCGCGCGGGAUACACAAGGUGCUUUCGCUAUCCGGACCUUCGCCACUGUCCCGCGCCCCACCCCCAUUCAGGCGCUGGGUGUGGACAGGGCGGAGGAAGGCUAUAUGGGAGCUUAAAGCAUGAGGUCAUGGGCGGAGGAGAAUGCUGCCAAAAGCGGCCGAGGUUUUUGUGUAUUUUGAGGGGUAACGGUUCUCCAUCUUCAGCAGUGGUAAGUUUUCCCGCAUAAGCCUCCCAAUUCUGGGGCACCUGGACCAGAAGGCCCCCGAAAGAGGAGGGAAGUCUGGGCUAUUUCGCUCAAUGAGCGUUUGGCCGGUGCCCAGCCCUUUACGGGGCCCUUCCAUACAAGCAAAGAAAGUCGAGGGACAGCGCACAGUGUCGCGGGGACCGAGAAAGGCUCAGAUGCUCAGUCCCCGCCCCCCACGCCUUUCCUCAGUCCUCGGUCAUCUUCCAACCCGACUGCUUUCUGUGAUAGCCUCCUGCCUCCCUCGGACCCAUUCUUCCCAAGCGGCUAAAGGAGUCUCUCUAAAACUCCUGAUUACACUCCUUCCAACCCCUCCCAGUUGCUCUUAGAAUAAAGCCAAGCUCUGAAGGCCCCGCGUGAUUUCGCCUCUACAGACCUCUCCACUCUCACGGCUCCUCCUAUACUACCUUCAGGACUCAACUGUCACUAUCUCCAAGAGGCCUUCCUAAAGAUACAAUCUCAUCUCUAACUCCCUCAGAGGAGAAAGACCCACCCUAGACCUCAGGGCAGGCAGGCUGUGGCCGGAGCUGGCCCCAGUGGCGGCCCUUUUCCCAGCAGAGGAGGAAUAGCCAAGCUUGAGCCUUGACCUCCUGAGAGGGAGUUGGCUGAGACAGAACCUCAAAAACCCGGUUUCCUCAAGAGACCUGGGAAAAGCAGCGCACCGGCCAGAAACCUCAGCCUCUCCACCUCUCACCCCCAGCACACACCCACACAGAUGCAGACAAAAGUGGAGGAUCAGAGAGAUGACAUAACUUGCUCCAAUGUGUAUCCAGGCCAACCUGAGCCCAAAUCCUCUCUUAACCACUAGCCCUCUUGCCUCCCUGCAACACAGGGAAAAUUCUGGUGGCCUGAUGGGGAAGAAGUAGAAUGGAAAUCUUUGGACUUAGGCAGACCUUAACUCUGGGUCUAGACUCCACCAGCAAUGAGACCUUGGGGAGGUUUCUUAACUUCUCUGAGCCCCAGCUCUCUAACCUGUGAACUGGGACCACACAUUCUUCAUUGGUUUAAUGUGAAGGUCCAAUGCUUAUAAAUAAGAGCUUUUAAAAUGCCUAGUAGACCAAAUGCAAUAUUUAGAUCUUGUGUGGCUCUGAUUUGAGUAAACCAAUUGUUAAAAAGACAUUGUUGAGACAAUCAGGGAAAUAAAAUGUGGACUUGAUAUAGAUGUUAAGAAAUUAUUAAUUUUGUUAGAUGUGAUAAUGGCAUUGUGGUUAUGUUUUUUUUUUAAGUGCUUAUCUAUUAGAGAUGCAUAAUGAAGAAUUUGGGGUGAAAGUAUGUCUAGGAUUCAUCUUCGAUUACUCCAGCCCCCUCCCCAAAAACUGGGAGAUAAAUAAAACAAGAUUAGCAGAGUGUGGGUAUUUGUCGAAGCUGUCCAUUUUACUAUUCUCCCUACUUCUAUUGAAUGUUUGAAAUGUUUCAAAUAAAUCCAAAAUAAAUUUAAAAGUAAAAUAAUUGUAUU